GACCUUCUGAAGUGUCCGCUGUCAAAAUCGGAACAAUGCCGGGAAGAGUAGCAGGGCCCCUGUGCAUGGAUGCCAUGUACAAAUCGAGAAGCAUACCACGCUUCC
rfam:Cyclospora cayetanensis strain CHN_HEN01 contig_1039, whole genome shotgun sequence.